CUGCCUUAUAGGGAUGAACUAGUCCCCUAAAUUUAUGUCCAUCUUUCAAUCUGUUGGCUAUUUUAUUUUUAGUUGUAGCUGGCAACACUUUGGUGGGAAAUAC